CCUACGGGAGGCAGCAGUGAGGAAUAUUGGUCAAUGGACGCAAGUCUGAACCAGCCAUGCCGCGUGCAGGAAGACGGCUCUAUGAGUUGUAAACUGCUUUUGUACGAGGGUAAACGCCGAUACGCGUAUCUGUCUGCACGUAUCGUACGAUUAAGGAUCGGCUAACUCCGUGCCAGCAGCCGCGGUAAUACGGAGGAGCCAAGCGUUAUCCGGAUUUAUUGGGUUUAAAGGGUGCGUAGGCGGACGGAUAAGUUAGAGGUGAAAGCCCGGGGCUCAACUUCGGAAUUGCCUGGGAUACUGUUCGGCUGGAGAGUAGUUGAGGUAGGCGGAAUUUAUGGUGUAGCGGUGAAAGGCGUAGAGAUCA
rnacentral:rRNA from 1 species